AUUGAACGCUGGCGGCAUGCCUUACACAUGCAAGUCGAACGGCAGCACGGGAGCUUGCUCCUGGUGGCGAGUGGCGAACGGGUGAGUAAUGCAUCGGAACGUGCCCUGAAGUGGGGGAUAACGGACCGAAAGGAACGCUAAUACCGCAUACGUCCUACGGGAGAAAGCAGGGGGACCUUCGGGCCUUGCGCUAACAGAUGAGCCCAGGUCGGAUUAGCUAGUUGGUGGGGUAAAGGCUCACCAAGGCGACGAUCCGUAGCUGGUCUGAGAGGAUGAUCAGCCACACUGGAACUGAGACACGGUCCAGACUCCUACGGGAGGCAGCAGUGGGGAAUAUUGGACAAUGGGGGAAACCCUGAUCCAGCCAUGCCGCGUGUGUGAAGAAGGCCUCGGA
rnacentral:rRNA from 1 species